rnacentral:lncRNA from 1 species
ACCCCAUGAGUCGACUCAUGACUAAAAGGGCUGAACGGCAUGCGAAAAUUUUGACUGACACACUCUAUGAGUCGACCUCAUGUGUCGACCCCUUAGCAUGAGUCGAUCCUAUGAGUCGAUCUCUGCUGUUUUGCAGGCUAAAAUUAUAGAACAGUCAUUUUCUGCUCUUUUCCAUAGAGAUCGACCCUAUGAGUCGACCCAUGAGCAUGAGUCGACCCUAUGAGUCGACCCCU